UACGGGGGGGGCAAGCGUUGUUCGGAAUUACUGGGCGUAAAGGGCCAGUAGGCGGCCAACUAAGUCGGUUGUGAAAUCCCCAGGCUUAACCUGGGAACUGCAUCCGAUACUGGAUGGCUUGAAUUCGGGAGAGGGAUGCAGAAUUCCAGGUGUAGCGGUGAAAUGCGUAGAUAUCUGGAGGAAUACCGGUGGCGAAGGCGGCAUCCUGGACCGACAUUGACGCUGAACGGCGAAAGCUAGGGGAGCAAACGGG
rnacentral:rRNA from 1 species